GUUGACCUCGGAUCAGGUAGGAAUACCCGCUGAACUUA
rnacentral:rRNA from 17 species